AAACUUUUGUUCUCGAGGAGAAAGAAUCUCACACAUGGUAGUAGCUGAGGAUAAUUGAAAUUUUAUAUUUACAGUGGAGACGAAAGCUUGGUGGAAUUCCUGUUGAAAUUGCAUAUCCGUCUCAAAAUUAGGGUUUGCCAAUGGCAAUGCGUUUUGCCAAAUUAAUCGCUCUCUCAGAACCUAAAAUCUCCGCAUUGAUUCCUAAAUCCAGUGACGCAGCUAUCGUAUUCUCAAGGCUCGUUUCAACCAAUUGCACAACUCAAAAUACAGGUGAGGAUGCCAAGAUGGAAUAUCAAGAUUUUCAGAAAUGGUGCAAUGGCGGAGGAUUGUUUCACAAAUCUGCUUGUAUUGAUCCAAGUGCUCGAAUAGAGGUCGGAGCAGUGGUGCACUCUGAAUCUGUUGUGGGUGCAAAUGUCCACGUUGGGACAGGAAGCGUUGUUGGACCUGCUGUAACAAUUGGUCAAUCUACAAGAACAGGUUAUAACGUUGUACUGAGUAAUUGCACAGUUGGUGAUUUCUGUGUUAUUCAUCAUGGGGUCUGCAUUGGUCAAGAUGGUUUUGGAUUUUUCGUUGAUGAACAAGGGCUUAUGGUGAAGAAGCCUCAAUGCUUGAAAGCAAGAAUAGGCAACUAUGUGGAAAUUGGUGCUAGUACAUGCAUCGACAGGGGCAGUUGGCGAGACACUGCAGUUGGGGAUCACACAAAAAUCGAUAAUUUGGUACAGAUAGGUCACAACGUGGAAAUAGGGAAAAAUUGUAUGCUAUGCGGACAAGUUGGAGUUGCAGGUUCAGUGACGAUUGGAGAUUAUGUGAUAUUAGGUGGAAGAGUUUCUAUCAAGGAUCAUGUUUGCGUAGCAUCAAAGGUCCGGCUAGCUGCUAAUAGCUGUGUAACCAAGAACAUCUCUGAAGCAGGGGACUAUGGGGGCUUCCCUGCCAUGCCUAUUCAUGAGUGGAGAAAGCAAGUUGUCACUGCUCGCCAAACCUCAAAAGAAUUUUGGAAAAAUAAAAAGAAGUAACUUGAUUCAGACAUAUGUAUUCAAAGUAUAAUAUAUUUGACUCGGUCCUGUUGGAGGAGGUUAUGAAGAUCAUCGAUAAGGUGGAUUCAUAAGCCCGGACUGUUGGUUGCAGCUUAUAAGAGGACUCGGUUGUUCUUUCGUCACUCAUUAUCCCCUUGAUGCUGGCUUUACUGAAUUGUUGUUCACACGCAAUCUGGUGGACCCUGGUCCGCCACUUGAUAAUCUGAAACCUAAAAGCAGUUUCGACCCUGAGCUUGAAUCCCACAUCUGAACUAGCAUUCCACAACUUUUGUUUGGACUGUAUGGGCAUGUGGAACAGUGUAGUGUUCUUGUAGCCUUGACGAAAACCAGAUGUAGAGUUGGCCGCAACGACACUGCUGCUGGCGUACAGCUUGAAGCUUAUUCCGCUGUAAUCUAUCUCUAUGUGACUGUUGGGAUUGAAUAUCUUGAGGCAGACGACUAUAGAGGUGGCGGUUGUUGUAUGUGAAAUCGUUAACCGGGGAUUUCUUGGAGUGAGGCUGAGCCAUAGAGCCACUCCAACCAAACUCACCACACUCACCUCACAAAAGAACCAGUAGUAGAUCACUAGUCGAUCUUGAUCAAGUCUGCGCCAAGCCAUCUAUCUCCACACUAGAAAUGAAUUAUCAGUGGAGUGCAUAAUAUAUAUAGAUGGAAGUUUGAAAGAUCAAGGCCUUUCAUCUCUUCACAAUUAACUAGUGUUUAUGAUAUGAUAGGAUAGUAGUUA